GAGGAGGAGGAGGAGGAGGAGGAGGAGGAGGAGGAGGAGGAGGAAGAGGAGGAGGAGGAGGAGGAGGAGGUAGCGGCUUCAGACGGCUGUGAACGCAGCAAAAAUCCCUGACAGCUUAUUAAAAUCAUGCUGGAGGUGAAGGAGAAACAGGACGGAGAGGAGCCCAG